AUGAAUAUACACCACCGUCCAAAAUACUUCUUCAUAGUCCACAAAACACCUAUGCAUUGCCUUUUCUCUAAAACCCUAAACCCCAAAUUGUUUCUCCGUUCCUUAAACAAUACUACUCCAAAAUCUUCCUUCAUUAUCCGAAGCAUGAGUAGUUGCGGGUCAAGAAUGUUCCAGCUCAAAGUCGACCCGCUUACCGGAAACUCCGAAUGGGUCGUCAUUGAAGAACACGAAGCUACUUCUGGAGAUGAUGCUACAAAACAACUUCUUGCUAAUACUUCCUACCUGGAUAUGCUAAAUGAUACUCGAAGGAAUAAAGCUUAUAGAGAAGCCAUUGAUAAGACCAUAACCAAGCCUUGCCAUGUUCUCGAUAUUGGAGCGGGAACUGGUUUACUAUCUAUGAUGGCAGCCCGAGCAAUGGGUUCUGGAGAUUCAGUGGAGAAUUCGAGCUCUAAGGGGAUGGUUACCGCGUGUGAGUCAUAUCUUCCUAUGGUAAAAUUGAUGCGGAAGGUUUUGCAUGCUAAUGGCAUGCAGAGAAAAAUCUGCAUCAUUAACAAGAGGUCAGAUGAACUAGAAGUUGGUGCGGACAUGCCUUCACGGGCAGACGUGCUUGUUAGUGAAAUACUCGACUCUGAGCUUUUGGGAGAAGGCUUAAUUCCAACUCUGCAGCAUGCUCAUGACAAGCUACUGACAGACAAUCCAAAAACAGUGCCUUACCGAGCAACGAUAUAUGGUCAGCUGGUAGAAAGCACAGAUUUGUGGAAGCUGCACGAUUUGUUUAACAAUGAAAAAGGAGUACUAGAUGAAAUUCAUCUUGUUCCAGAGGAAAUGGAUGCAGCUUUAUGUGUCAAACGCCAACAAUUUCCCAUGCAUUGUGAUGCAUUGAAAGAAGACAUCAAAUUGCUAUCAGAACCCUUCAAAGUAUUUGACUUUGACUUUUGGAGAAGGCCAGAUAGUCAUCGCGAAACUGAACUGAGUGUAAAAGCUACUGAUACCGGCACUGUUCAUGCUAUAAUCUCAUGGUGGUUGCUCCAGCUUGAUGAAAAAGGCACUGUCUUCUACUGCACUGCACCAAAAUGGAUAAGUCGUCCAUCUAACGUGGAAGGACUAAACGCAUCCAAUAGCUGUUGUGACAACUGGUGUGACCAUUGGAAACAGUGUGUUUGGUUCAUCCCAAAGAAAGGCUUGUCUUUAUUAAAGGAUGAAGAAGUUAAUUUGCUUGCUGCUCACACGGAUACUAGCAUCUCAUAUGAAAUGAAGACUUUGCCCCAGAACCUGAAACAAAGUGAGCUCAGUACUCAGAAGUACCAAAUCACUUUGUCGCCAGAAAAAAUUGCAUUAUACGGUGAUGUCAGUUGGAGAUGCUCAAUGCUAAAAGCUAUUAAAAAUGCAAUGAAGCAGAAAAUGCCCUCCUUGUGCAUUGUUGUGGAUGAUAGCAUAUUUUUGGCUGUUGCUCUGGCCCAUCUCGCAAAAGGGUCUCAUGUGCUUUCACUGUUUCCAGGAUUUCAAGAGAAAGGUGCGCAGUAUUUGCAAGCUGUUGCAGCUUCAAAUGGUUAUUCGAAGGAUCACAUAGAAGUCCAAAAGAUGAGUGAACUGUUGACCUCUCAAAAUAGUAAGAAAAAGAUUGACUUGUUAGUUGGAGAACCUUUCUAUUAUGGAAACAGCAGUGUGCUUCCAUGGCAAAAUCUGCGAUUUUGGAAGGAAAGAAGCUUGUUGGAUCCAAUCCUAUCAGAAGGCGCAGUAAUUAUGCCUCGCAAAGGAUUGCUAAAGGCUUGUGCGAUGUCUCUUCCUGACCUUUGGAGAAGUCAUCGAUGCCUGCAAGAUAUUGAAGGUUUUGAUCAUUCAGUUGUCAAUUCCACGUUAGGGGCAUGUGGAGGUUUACCUCCUGGACAAGAGAAUCCUACUCUGCCUUUUUCAGUCUGGCAAUGUGGUGAGAGCAAGAAAAUGAGCGACAUAGUUACCAUCAUGGAAUUCAAUUUCUUGAAACCGAUAAGCCUAUGUUCUGGAAAAGCUAAGGUAGAAUUUACUGCACGUGGAAAAUGUCAUGGAUUUGUUCUUUGGAUUGACUGGGUGAUGGAUACGGAAGAGUCCAUUGUCUUGUCUGCAGGACCAGAACAAAGAUACUGGAAGCAAGGCGUAAAGCUUCUGAAGGAGCCCGUGGCUGUCACAACUGAUUGUCACUCAGCAGACAUUAAAACAUCUUUUGAUCCAUCAACUGGUGACCUCAUUGUAGAUUAUGCUUUCUUAUAACCAAGAGCGCAUCAGUUGCCUUUCCCAAUUUGACCUGAUGUGAGUAAUUUUCCGAAUGUCAUCCAGUCCAGAGCUUUGUAAUUUUCCUCACUGUGUGGCAUAAAUACUUUUGCAAUGAAGGUCUAGCCCUAAUUCUAAGGCCACAGCUUCAAGGAUGUUAGGGUUCUAGUGGUUUUCACUGUCGGCAGUACUUGCUUUGUUAUAUUGCAGAGUCUGCAACUCCUUGAUUGCGAGUUACAUUGUGAUUUCAUCCUUUUGCCACCAAGAAAGAAAGUUGUAUCCAAAUGUGGUCUUGCGUGCAGAAGUUCGUCUCUAGUAUGGUGAAAGAAUUGCUGCACGCGGAGCUGCCAAUAUAUGGGUGCCACCAGAAGCCAGAAGGUAAACAUGAAGUAGUAGCCACUUCAUAUCGAUAAUUUACCGAUACUCUUGAAGAGAGAGGUUUCUUUAAAUUUCAUGCUUCAGAUAUCCUAAAUUUCAGGCAUAAUUACUCGCUCAAAUCUAUGUGGUUUGAGUAUUACAUGUCA